CGCUAGAGUUCAUCUGAGCGAGUCCCCCUCAAAAAAAUAACUCUUAACUUGCCGCUGCCGUCGGAGUUCGCCGCCGCCGUCGAGCCCUGAUUUUCCCCGCCGCUGUCGAGCCCUAAAGUUUGUCGUCACCGUCGAGCCUGCAGUUCGCCGCUAAGUCCCGUCAAUUAGGUUGGUAUGGCAUGUGACUAUAUCAGAGUUAAGGAUUGGAUGUAUGUGAAUCGUGAAAAACGCACAAAGCCUGAAUUCAUUGAAGGAGUUGCUUCUUUCAUAAAAUUUGUACGUGAACACGAUAGGAUCCAAUAUGGGAUGAUCCUUUGUCCAUGCAGUCACUGUGGGAAUAGGUUGCAUCGUAAGGAGGAAGAUGUAGAACUUGACAUUGUUAAGCAUGGUUUUAUUAGGGAUUAUACAAUUUGGGUAUAUCACGGAGAAAUCCUAGCUCCUAAUAUUGUCGAUAAUGAAGAAGAAUAAAGAAAAUUUAUUUCCAGAAGAGGAGAUGGAGGAAAUGGUAGAAGUUACUUUUGGUGGCUCUAAUCUUACUGAAGAUGAUCAUCCUUCCGAACAAGAACAUGUAGAUGUGUAUGAGAAGUACAUGAAAGAUGCCAAUAGACCAAUUUAUGAGAAUGCAAAAUAUUCCACACUAUCAUGGUUCGUUCAACUUUUCCAGAUUAAAUGCCUAAAUAAAUGGAACAACAAGUCAUUUACGAUGCUUCUAAAAUUCUUGAAAUAUUCAAUUCCUCCGGGAAACAAUGUGCCUCAGAGCUGGUAUGUAGCUAAAAGGAUAAUGUCUGAUCUGGGUUUGAAUUGUGAGAAGAUUCAUGCAUGUCCUAAUGAUUGUGUGAUGUUCUGGAAAGAAAAUUCUAAACUGAAAGAGUGCCCUAAUUGUGGAGUUUCUAGAUAUAAGAAGAAAGCACAUGCUAACAAAAAAGACAUACCUGUCAAGGUGGUACGAUACUUUCCUGUGACACAGAGGCUACAGAGGCUCUACAGGUGUAAGAAGACAGUGGUGGCAAUGACCUGGCAUGACCGUGCUAUUCCAAGUGAAGAUGGUAAAAUGAUUCAUCCAAGAGAUUUGCCAGCAUGGAAGGAUUUUGACAAGUUGCACACAACAUUUAGUCAGGAUCCCCAUAAUAUUAGGCUCGGACUAGCUAGCGAUGGUUUCUGCCACUUUAGUUUUAAUGGCAAUCCGCACAGUACAUGAUCUGUUAUAAUGAUGAUAUAUAAUCUUUCACUGUGGUUAGCGAUGGAUCAAUCAUACUUUCUAAUGCCUCUUCUUAUUGAUAGGCCGAGUUCACCGGGUAACAAUAUCGACGUCUACCUUCGACCUCUCAUCGAUGAGUUACUGUCUUUAUUCAUUGAUGGUGUAAAGACAUAUGAUGCAGACAAAGGGGAAACAUUCACAAUGCGUGCAGCCUUAAUGUGGACAAUUAACGACUUUCCUGCAUAUGGAAUGCUAUCAGGUUAUUCUGUACAUGGUUAUAAAGCAUGUCCUUACUGUCAUGCCGAUACAUCAUCAGCAUGGUUGCCCUUUAGCAAAAAGAUUUGUUAUUACGGUUAUCGAUGUAUGUUGGAAGAAAAUCAUCCCAAUAGAGAUGAUGUUGUUCACUUUGAUGGUACUACAGAGCAUAGAAAGGCUCCAGCCCCCUUAUCCAAAAAGGACAUACUUACUCAGUGGAAUGUUUACGGAAAUGUAACUUUCGGGAAAGUAAAGGAAAGACAGUAAAGGUCACAAGGAUGGAACAAAAAAUUAUUUUCUUUGAAUUGUCGUAUUGGAAAGACAAAUAAAGCCAAUCAAUUAAGGCCCGAUCCUGAGAAGAAUGAACCAGCAUUCCUCUUGCACUUUGAUGAGUAUUUUCGUAUCACAGGCCCCAAUGCUGAGAGAUUUGGAUAGUAUGUGGCAAGUGAGCCGUCAAUACAUGGACUUCCCACUUUAUAAGAACUGGGGCCCGGAUCAUGAGCAUUCAUUUGAUAAGUUCUUUCUCCAAGCCCAGGUUUAAAUACAUUUUUAAUCUAUUUUUGUCCUCGUAAAACUAGCAAGAUUUUAUUCAAUUCUCAUGUAUACGUCACUGACCACGAACUAGACUCUUUAGAUAUUUGUACAUGAAUUCAUGUAAAGUGUUUAAUGUUUUUUUGUUAAAUAUGCAGAAAGAUUAUGAGUUUCUUCCUGUAGAUCCUUAUUGUCCUCUUAAUCUUCCUGCUAUACAUCGAGGUGUGAAGAUAAAGAUGCAGGAGAGAGUCUGAGGCAAUCAAAAUCAGGUGAAGAAUGAGUGUUAUGAACUAUGGCUGGAAACUCCCCAAGAGAAAAGAGAUGAUCUUUUCAAGACAGAGGUGUUCAAAAGGAUCGAUAAAAAAUGGUAGGACGACAUCUGUAAGUUUUUUUCUUCUAAUAGGAAGCAGGUAUAUGGUUAACAAAUAAUUCAAUGAUUAGCAUGUACUUAUUUUUGGAUCACAAUCUAAAUCUUAUAUUUUUGUACAGGCGGAGGUAAAAAGAAAUAAAGAUAAUCGGCAGUCAAAGAAGCGAGGUCGACCAACCUAUACGGGUGGCUCGAGGAACAUAGUCUAGGCAAAACAGAGAGUGAGAGCUCGGAUCGAAGAAUCGGGUGGUAGCUCAAGUGCAUUAAAGGAGUAUUUGGGUACCCACGUGACGUUAGUCGAUCCAGUAGCUGAUACAUAUUCAUGUACAUAUCCCGACACCCAAACUCAGGAGUAUUGUGCUCGGGUGAUAGAAAGGGACAAAUCAUUAGAGAUCGACCGAGAACCCAAAUCUACUGCAAUGACCACGGUCAUAGAUGAUGUACAUGAAGGGCAUAAUGGUGGUUAUGAGAGAGGUUUGGGUCACGAUGUCACUAGAUUUUAUUUGAAGACUUCCUCCACUCCGACCUUCGCUACUCCUCCUGAUGUGCUUCGUGAGAUGGCGGAGCUUAAAGGCAAGAUGGAACGACUAACCCAGCUUGUGCGUAUGGUUACUUUAAUAUAACUUUAUUUUCAAUUCAGAAAAUAAUUUUUUUUCUGGAAUACUUUCAUAAGCUCAAUAACUAUGAAGGCAUAUUUCCAAAAAGACAGAGGAAGCUUAUGAGAGGGAGAGGGAGUC